UACGUAGGGGCCGAGCGUUGUCCGGAGUUACUGGGCGUAAAGCGCGCGCAGGUGGCUCAUUACGCCCGGCGUGAAAGCCCCCGGCCCAACCGGGGAGGGUCGUCGGGGACGGGUGAGCUUGAGGGCAUCAGGGGCUGGUGGAAUUCCCGGUGUAGUGGUGAAAUGCGUAGAGAUCGGGAGGAACACCAGUGGCGAAGGCGGCCUUCUGGACCAAUACUGACGCUCAUGCACGAAAGCGUGGGGAGCAAACAGG
rnacentral:rRNA from 1 species